UUAUUGUAUUAAUAUUUGUUAUAUGUAAUUAACGAUAAUUUAAUAUCAUUCUAUGUAUGUGGAAGAUAUUUCACAUUCAGUAUAACUUUCAGAUGUUCAAGAGGAAAGUCACGGUUGAUGGAUAAUUCCGGUAUAGAAUCUAAACACUGCGCUACGUACCAACGAAAUUCUUCUAUGCUUCUUCAUUUUAGUCGCUUCUUUUUUCAAGCCUCGGGGGACAUAUUCUCACGAAAUCCGGUUCUACUGGUUUGGGGUUAGAUACGAAGGUUGUCACGUUUUCCAAGGAAAUGAUAUUUAUUACUUCAAAUUGGUUACAAAAUACAUCAUAAUUCUCACAUAAUUUAUGACUGUACCAUAGUGUUGACGACGCAGCCCGCGAAUACGUCUCUCUCAUAUAAUAUUACACACACGAGAGCAAUACAAGAGACCAGAUUUGAAAAAUUAUAUUUUUGAAAACAUAUAUUACUAACAAGAUCAUAAAAAGUAUUCCAUAACGUUUGAAAAUUAAUAUAUUAUAUCCAUGAAGUUACAUAUGAUGAAAGCCAAAAUAUACAAAUAAAAGAUGUUUUUUAAAAUUAAUAAAGUAACAGUAUGUGGCCAAUAUCAAAAGAUAAAUGUUUCACCCUGUAUACAAAAAUAUCAUGCAGUCAAACACCAUCUCCAGUACAACAGGUUGUUAAUUUUUCUCUGCAAGAUCCACGGCGGUGGGCUUCAUUAAAAAUUGAACUGGUCAGAAUAUCAAAGAGAAGAAUAAAUUUAACACGUAUGAGCCAUUAAUUAACGGGCCAAUUGCCGAUAUUCUUAUACAAGGCGGAGGUAAUGUACGUAAAAUCUGCUUCUAAAAAAAAAUCUUCAUAAAUACACCGAUUUGUUUGUCGUAUAUUUGUAUGAGAAA